rnacentral:rRNA from 1 species
GAUGAACGCUGGCGGCGUGCCUAAUACAUGCCAGUCGAGCGAACAGACGAGGAGCUUGCUCCUCUGACGUUAGCGGCGGACGGGUGAGUAACACGUGGAUAACCUACCUAUAAGACUGGGAUAACUUCGGGAAACCGGAGCUAAUACCGGAUAAUAUAUUGAACCGCAUGGUUCAAUAGUGAAAGACGGUUUUGCUGUCACUUAUAGAUGGAUCCGCGCCGCAUUAGCUACUUGGUAAGGUAACGGCUUACCAAGGCGACGAUGCGUAGCCGACCUGAGAGGGUGAUCGGCCACACUGGAACUGAGACACGGUCCAGACUCCUACGGGAGGCAGCAGUAGGGAAUCUUCCGCAAUGGGCGAAAGCCUGACGGAGCAACGCCGCGUGAGUGAUGAAGGUCUUCGGAUCGUAAAACUCUGUUAUUAGGGAAGAACAAAUGUGUAAGUAACUAUGCACGUCUUGACGGUACCUAAUCAGAAAGCCACGGCUAACUACGUG